rnacentral:rRNA from 1 species
AGUGAACGCUGGCGGCAGGCCUAACACAUGCAAGUCGAACGGCAGCACGGCAGUAGCAAUACUGUGGGUGGCGAGUGGCGGACGGGUGAGGAAUACAUCGGGAUCUACCCUGUUGUGGGGGAUAACGUAGGGAAACUUUACGCUAAUACCGCAUAAGAACUGAGGUUGAAAGCGGCGGACCGCAAGGCGUCGCGCGAUUGGAUGAACCGAUGUCCGAUUAGCUAGUUGGCGGGGUAAAGGCCCACCAAGGCGACGAUCGGUAGCUGGUCUGAGAGGACGACCAGCCACACUGGAACUGAGACACGGUCCAGACUCCUACGGGAGGCAGCAGUGGGGAAUAUUGGACAAUGGGCGCAAGCCUGAUCCAGCCAUG